AGGUCCCGCCUGCCCUGUGACUAUAAGUUUAACGGCCGCGGUAUUUUGACCGUGCAAAGGUAGCGCAAUCACUUGUCUUUUAAAUGAAGACCUGUAUGAAUGGCAUAACGAGGGCUUAACUGUCUCCUUUUUCCAGUCAAUGAAAUUGAUCUCCCCGUGCAGAAGCGGGGAUAUUAUCAUAAGACGAGAAGACCCUAUGGAGCUUUAGACACCAGAACAGAUCAUGUUAAACACCCCUCAAAUAAAGGACAAAACUCAUUGGCCCCUGUUCUAAUGUCUUUGGUUGGGGCGACCGCGGGGAAACAACAAACCCCCAUGUGGACCGGGAGCACACUACCCCCACAACCCAGAGUCACAACUCCAAGUAACAGAACUUCUGACCGACAAGAUCCGGCGCAUAGCCGAUCAACGGACCGAGUUACCCUAGGGAUAACAGCGCAAUCCUCUUCUAGAGCCCAUAUCGACAAGAGGGUUUACGACCUCGAUGUUGGAUCAGGACAUCCUAAUGGUGCAGCCGCUAUUAAGGGUUCGUUUGUUCAACGAUUAAAGUCCUACGUGAUCUGAG
rnacentral:rRNA from 1 species